AUCCCAUUGCUCUUAAAGGCAGCAUUGCCUUUGUUUCAUGCUUCCUGUCCCACAGGCCCUGUCUCCUCUUCCAGGGCAGUGUCCUUUACGAUGCACACAAAAAGGAGACAGGCGUUUAUGUCUUGCUGAUGCCGCUAAGAACAGGGCUAAAAUGAGGCACCGCACACCUUUGAAAUGCAAUGCCCCUGCCGUUGAAAUAGUUCGGCUCAAGAAACAGACAUAGAUCUAUUGAAGGAGGAUUUGGGUGGAACGGAAAGUUCAAGCUGUUUGUCUAAGCAAUCAAGCCACUGGAAGGCAAGACCAAGGCAGAGAAAAUGAGGACACUCUUUUGACUAGCUCCACCACACUCUAUUUAACCACUGACCCAGUUAAGUAAUUGCAAUACUGACAAGUCCCCUUUGGGUUUGACAAUGGUUGUCAUCUGCCGGAGAAGCGAGUAGCCCCAGCUGUUGUGUUUCGCGUUAUUUAUUCAACACAAACUCAUGCGGAUUCAGUUACUUCUAAUCUACUGCGUGUUGAGUGAACCAUGCAGAAGAGUUUGCAGAAAUCCUGACUUCAGCUUUAGAGAUUUGCCAGAGAUCAUUCUCGCCGGAAGCAUUUCCACGGUGUUUUAUUAGCAGUGGGCAUUCGCAGUGCUUCUUGGAAGGAGUCUUCCCAUGAAAGACGCAUUACUGUUUCUUUGGGAGGGGGGGGUGAGGGUCCAAAAAAUUAGAAUGGCUUGUUUUGGAAGUUAUGUGCAUUGUAGUCUUCACCUCUUCCCUUGGCAAGGGAUGACAAAGCUAAGCCAUGCCCCACAGCAUUUCUUUCAAAAAGACAAGAGUCCAUUAAGGAUUCCUCUUGUUGACUUUUAAGGCAUCUUUGCAAGGUUCUGUCAUUAGGGAAACACAUGUUGAUAACUGAUGUAAUAGCAUCUGCAUCAAAGUCUAACUGGCUGGAGACAGAUGGCAGUUUUUUCCAGGAAGUUGAAGAUGCUAUAUUUUUUUUUGUUGGGAGCCACCCAGAGUGGCUGGGGCAACCCAGUCAGAUGGGCAGCAUAUAAAUAAAUUAUUAUUAUUAUUAAGCAUUCACUCAUAUUUUAUUUGCUAGGUAUUUCAUGGCAUCCACGUCUUCAGCGAAUAAGUGUGAACUCAACCCAGAUUGGCGUUUGAGAUGUCACGGUAAAAUGUUCAGAAUCUCUCCCAUAAAAAAAAGGCUACUCUGGGACUUCUUGGUUCAGAGAGAACAUCCAUUUUCGUGCAGCGGGGGAGACUGUGACCAGUUCAUCUCGAAUUAUUGGCCGAGGGAGCCGGCGUAUAGCUUCCUGGUCAUGUGGCCAGCAUGACAAAGCCACUUCUGGCAAACCAGAGCAGCACAUGGAAACGCUGUUUACCUUCCCGCUGUAGCGGUUCCUAUUUAUCUACUUGCAUUUUGACGUGCUUUCGAACUGCUAGGUUGGCAGGAGCUGGGACCAAGCAACGGGAGCUCACCCCGUCACAGGGAUUCGAACCGCCGACCUUCUGAUCAGCAAGCCCUCUGAUCAGAAACCAAGCCAGAAACCAAGAUCAGUGGUUUAACCACAGCGCCACCUGGGUCCCUAUACUGUUUUAUAGUUUUAAGAAAAAAAUCUCAAAGUGAUCUAUAACCUAAAAUUAAAAUAUCAAAAUAUCUUUGUGAAAAUUCCAGCAUUUUAGUGCAAAUUUCUCCGAAUAUUCUUCUUCUUGUUGUUGUCUAAUAUAUACAUAGGUUGUGACUUAUUAAGCCCUAUAUGGCUUUUGUCCAGACUAUCUGAAAGACCGUAUUCUCCCACGUGAACCUGCCCUGGGCUCUGAGAUCUUCUCUCAGUCCCUCCUUCAUCACGGACACACUCGGUGGGGACGUGGGAGAGGACCUUCUUGGUGGCUGCUUCCAGACUGUGGAAGUCCUUCGCAAGAGAAGCUAGACCGACUCCCUCCUUGUUGUUCUUCCAGUGGCAGGCUAGACAUUUAAUUCGCAAAGGAAUAUGGCCCUCAGGCUGAAAACGAUUCUUUACCCUUGAUCUGCAGCAGGGAUAUGGGGAACUGGAUCUGGUCGAAAAGAUCUACCCCCAUGGGUCAAAUUUAUCAGAUGGGCAGUGCCACCCGCCUAUCAAUCAACUGGUGUCACAACGAAGGAUGCUUUGAAGCCCUAACAAUCACCUUCUUGUUGGAUCUUCUCUAUGCCUUCCUCGAGCCCUUGUGGCUUAGCUGGAGUGAGUUAUUGAACUGCAAUGAUGCCUCUUUCUUCUCUGAAAAGAAGAUAGAGGGGCAGGGGGUGGCGGUAGAAAGCUCUGGGUUUUGCAUGGCCAGCGUGUAGGGAAGAGUCACACUCCACCAACGUUUGCCUCUGGCAGAACCCAGAACUGACAUGUGACUCCCCUCCACAGGAAUUCCCCCAUGAGAAUGCAGAAAAAAAAUUCUUCACCUCAAUAUAGACCCCUCUGGGAAGAUCUAUAGUUUAUCAGUAGAACAUACACAUUGCAUGCAGACUGUCCCAGUUUCAAUCCACAGCAUCUCUUGGUAGGGCCAGGAGAGACUUCUGUCUGAAACCCCUGAGAUCUGCAGCCAAUCAGUGUGAACUAUACUGAGCUAGGUGGACCAAUAGGCUGACUCACUAGAAGGCAUCUUCCCAUGUUCCUAACCAUGGAUGGUUCCUAACCUGUAGGUUAGGAACUACAACUCCCAUCAUCCCUGACCUGACGACUGAUGACCGAUGCUGAUGGGAGAUGCUCUCCAACAACGUCUUUCCUGAUCCAAACCCUUUUUGGGGCAUGUUGAAGUCAACAGAAACGCUCUUCUUGGUGCUGGCGACUGAAGCACGGACAGCCCUGCGAAUCGACAUGAAGCAAGUGGGAAAGGAAUGCUUCUGAAGGACAAAAGUACUAGGGGGUUUGAAAAUAAGUCAACACGAUUUGAAAAAGAAAUUUUGAAUAGUAAUGAAAAAUUACUUUCCAAAAUGUAUAGACUCUUAGAAGAAUCAGAAACAAAUUAUGAAGUGAAAAACAAAAAUAUGUGCAAAUGGGAACAAGAUAUUGGAUACGAAAUAGGCAUAGACGAUUGGAGAAAGUUUUGGAAAAAUAGUAUAAAGUUCACAUCUUGUUACUCUCUAAGAGAGAACUUUAUGAAACUCCACCACAGAUGGUACUUGGGACCGGACAGGCUUGCAAAAAUGAACAAGAACACGAGCAACAAAUGUUGGAGGUGCCAAAGUGCGGUCGGCUCCCUGUUUCAUAUGUGGUGGACAUGCCCAGAAGUGCAAAAAUAUUGGGACAUGAUACAUACCGAAAUUCAAAAGUUAAUAAAAAUAGCAUUUUCUAAAAAAGCAGAAUCCUAUCUUCUGGGCAUCCUAAGUAGUGAAAUACCAUAUGACAGAACCAAUAUAUUUCUAUAUGCGACGACAGCCGCCAGAAUGUUACUUGCUAAAUAUUGGAAAGGUACCCUUAUACCAACAAAAGGGGAAUGGGUAAACAAAUUAUGCGAAUAUCUGGAGUUGGCGAAACUCACAGAUAUAAUACGACAAAAACCAAAAAAUAGGAUUAAAAAACAAUGGGAUUGUUUAAAUGACUAUUUAACGAAAACAGACAAGGGGACAAAACAUGGUUAUGUUUGGAAUAACCUUGUAAGGAUGAGUAGUGUUUAUACAGUAUAUAUUGUUAGACAGAUCUAAAGGUAAAAUGUUUAUUGAAAUAUUUUUAA